rnacentral:pre_miRNA from 11 species
GAAUUUGAACUCUGCUCUACCCGAUAAGCCUGUGGGAGCGAGAUUAAGGCUUGCUGGUCAUUUAUUACACUCGAAGUCAGUCUUUUUCUCUCUCCUAUUGGUAUAACGGUGUUUCAACGAGUCCGAGU